AUUGAACGCUGGCAGCAUGCCUUACACAUGCAAGUCGAACGGCAGCACGGGAGCAAUCCUGGUGGCGAGUGGCGAACGGGUGAGUAAUAUAUCGGAACGUGCCCGGUCGUGGGGAUAACGUAGCGAAAGCUACGCUAAUACCGCAUACGAUCUACGGAUGAAAGCGGGGGAUCGCAAGACCUCGCGCGAUUGGAGCGGCCGAUAUCAGAUUAGGUAGUUGGUGAGGUAAAGGCUCACCAAGCCGACGAUCUGUAGCUGGUCUGAGAGGACGACCAGCCACACUGGGACUGAGACACGGCCCAGACUCCUACGGGAGGCAGCAGUGGGGAAUUUUGGACAAUGGGCGCAAGCCUGAUCCAGCAAUGCCGCGUGCAGGAUGAAGGCC
rnacentral:rRNA from 1 species